UUAUCGGAGCAAAACCCUUCCUGGUUUUAUGCUAACUCUGGAUAACACUGCUUAUCGCAUGACCUUGUGUCGGCGAAGUUACAUUCAAGUAUCUGCCUUAUCAACUUUCGAUGGUAGUGUAUUGGACUGCCAUGGUGUUGACGGGUAACGGAGAAUCAGGGUUCGACUCCGGAGAGGGAGCCUUAGAAACGGCUACCAUGUCUAAGGACAGCAGCAGGCGCGCAACUUAUCCACUGUUCAUUGAACGAGAUAGUGACGAGAAAUAACAAGUUCGUUCUCUAUGAGGUCGAGCAUUGGAAUGGAUGAAAUCUAAACAGUUUCAUGAGUACCCACGAGAGGGCAAGUCUGGUGCCAGCAGCCGCGGUAAUUCCAGCUCUCGUAAUGUAUAGAAUUAUUGUUGCGGUUAAAAAGUUCGUAGUUGGAUUUUCGACUGUUCAAAGGUUGGCCUUAACGGGACAUACUUUUGGCAGUGUUUGCAUUCGAUUUGGAAGCAAUUUCAAAUGGAAUGCGGAUUACUUUGAACGGCUUAAGUGCUCAAGGCGAGUCUUCGGACUGAAUACCGGUGCAUGGAAUAAUGGAACAAGGUUUCGGCCGAGUUUUAUUGGUUUUGUCGGCUAAAACAUGGUUAACAGGAACAGCUGGGGGCACUCGUAUCGCUGCGCGAGAGG
rnacentral:rRNA from 1 species